AACUGUAUAAAAAUAACUAUUAAUUUGGAUAUUAUAAAUUGAUGUUAUUUAGUUACUCAUGACAUAUGUGGAAAUACCAGGUCUGAUUAAAGCAUGAAGAGACAUAAUAAUGGAUGAUUAUCUUUUAAAAUAAAUAAAUAAUAGCAAAAGGGUGACUUAAAAUCCUCGACAUUAUCGUUGGUUCCGAAGCUCAUAAAAGCAUCAUAGUGCCUAAAAGUGACUGUAGAGAAGAAGUUAAACAAGGAAGCAUCGAUAUGUCUUCAAGCUUGAAAAAUUAGAUGUGUAAGUAAUGAGGUUGAAGCUAUUAAAUGAAGAAUGGAGAAAAUUAAAGAGCAACAAAAAAUGUUCAUCAACGGUGUCUUACGUAUUGAAUAUUACAUUUUAAUUGAACAAAAGUUUAUUUGGAGAUUUGUCAGUAAUCCUAUAUCUCCCAUAUGGAAGAGAAUGCUGUUACGAUAGAAGAAGACGUUAAAUGAUGUUUACCACGCUCUGUGAGAAAGG